AAAGAAUCUUGAAUAAAGAUUUACUUAGAAUUUCUGUCUGGAGUGAAAAGGCCGUUGAACUUUCUGGCUGACAGUUGGAUGGCAAUGGUCUUUCCUUUCACUUACGCUCCAAGGUGCUGUCAUGGCAGUGCUGAUCUCUCUACAGUCAUCAGUGGGAAGUUCCUUACCUUGACAGAAAUGGAGAUGGAGAAUCCUGAAAUCUUCCAUAAGUUCUUGCACUCAAGGAAACUUUAUUUUCCUUAGAUUCUAGGAAGAAAAGAAAUUGAGCUAACCAUGCAAAUGUCCCUCUACUCUGCCUCCAGCUAGAAGCUUAAGUUAUAAGCUUAACAGUGCUGAAUUGUAGGCAACUCCCAUUCAGUGCUUUCUAGUUCAGUGGCUCCAUGAAGACCUUUCUGAAGGUGCAGCUCUUUAAAAAGACUCUGUGGCAGCACAACUGAAGCAUUCGCUGCUAAAUAUAGAAAUGCA
rnacentral:lncRNA from 1 species